GAUGAAGAACGCAGCGAAAUGCGAUAAGUAAUGUGAAUUGCAGAAUUCAGUGAAUCAUCGAAUCUUUGAACGCACAUUGCGCCCGCCAGCACUCUGGCGGGCAUGCCUGUUCGAGCGUCAUUUCAACCAUCAAGCCCCCAGGGGCUUGUGCUGGGGCCCUGCGGCUGCCCGCAGGCCCUGAAAACCAGUGGCGGGCUCGCUAGUCACACCGAGCGCAGUAGCACAUCUCGCUCAGGGCGUGCGGCGGGCUCCUGCCGUGAAACCCCCCACUGUAACCCCAAAGGUUGACCUCGGAUCAGGUAGGAAUACCCGCUGAACUUAAGCAUAUCAAUACGGAGGA
rnacentral:misc_RNA from 1 species